AUUGAACGCUGGCGGCAGGCUUAACACAUGCAAGUCGAGCGGGGUGAUGGUGCUUGCACUAUCACUUAGCGGCGGACGGGUGAGUAAUGCUUAGGAAUCUGCCUAUUAGUGGGGGACAACAUCUCGAAAGGGAUGCUAAUACCGCAUACGUCCUACGGGAGAAAGCAGGGGGUCACUUGUGACCUUGCGCUAAUAGAUGAGCCUAAGUCGGAUUAGCUAGUUGGUGGGGUAAAGGCCUACCAAGGCGACGAUCUGUAGCGGGUCUGAGAGGAUGAUCCGCCACAAUGGGACUGAGACACGGCCCAGACUCCUACGGGAGGAAGCAGUGGGGAAUAUUGGACAAUGGGGGGAACCCUGAUCCAGCCAUGCCGCGUGUGUGAAGAAGGCCUUAUGGUUGUAAAGCACUUUAAGCGAGGAGGAGGCUCUUUUGGUUAAUACCCAAGAUGAGUGGACGUUACUCGCAGAAUAAGCACCGGCUAACUCUGUGCCAGCAGCCGCCGUAA
rnacentral:rRNA from 1 species